rnacentral:rRNA from 1 species
AGAGUUUGAUCCUGGCUCAGGAUGAACGCUGGCGGCGUGCCUAAUACAUGCAAGUCGAACGAAACUUCUUUAUCACCGAGUGCUUGCACUCACCGAUAAAGAGUUGAGUGGCGAACGGGUGAGUAACACGUGGGCAACCUGCCCAAAAGAGGGGGAUAACACUUGGAAACAGGUGCUAAUACCGCAUAACCAUAGUUACCGCAUGGUAACUAUGUAAAAGGUGGCUAUACUACCGCUUUUGGAUGGGCCCGCGGCGCAUUAGCUAGUUGGUAAGGUAACGGCUUACCAAGGCGAUGAUGCAUAGCCGAGUUGAGAGACUGAUCGGCCACAAUGGAACUGAGACACGGUCCAUACUCCUACGGGAGGCAGCAGUAGGGAAUCUUCCACAAUGGGCGCAAGCCUGAUGGAGCAACACCGCGUGAGUGAAGAAGGGUUUCGGCUCGUAAAGCUCUGUUGUUGGAGAAGAACGUGCGUGAGAGUAACUGUUCACGCAGUGACGGUAUCCAACCAGAAAGUCACGGCUAACUACGUGCCAGCAGCCGCGGUAAUACGUAGGUGGCAAGCGUUAUCCGGAUUUAUUGGGCGUAAAGCGAGCGCAGGCGGUUGCUUAGGUCUGAUGUGAAAGCCUUCGGCUUAACCGAAGAAGUGCAUCGGAAACCGGGCGACUUGAGUGCAGAAGAGGACAGUGGAACUCCAUGUGUAGCGGUGGAAUGCGUAGAUAUAUGGAAGAACACCAGUGGCGAAGGCGGCUGUCUGGUCUGCAACUGACGCUGAGGCUCGAAAGCAUGGGUAGCGAACAGGAUUAGAUACCCUGGUAGUCCAUGCCGUAAACGAUGAGUGCUAGGUGUUGGAGGGUUUCCGCCCUUCAGUGCCGGAGCUAACGCAUUAAGCACUCCGCCUGGGGAGUACGACCGCAAGGUUGAAACUCAAAGGAAUUGACGGGGGCCCGCACAAGCGGUGGAGCAUGUGGUUUAAUUCGAAGCUACGCGAAGAACCUUACCAGGUCUUGACAUCUUGCGCUAACCUUAGAGAUAAGGCGUUCCCUUCGGGGACGCAAUGACAGGUGGUGCAUGGUCGUCGUCAGCUCGUGUCGUGAGAUGUUGGGUUAAGUCCCGCAACGAGCGCAACCCUUGUUACUAGUUGCCAGCAUUAAGUUGGGCACUCUAGUGAGACUGCCGGUGACAAACCGGAGGAAGGUGGGGACGACGUCAGAUCGUCAUGCCCCUUAUGACCUGGGCUACACACGUGCUACAAUGGACGGUACAACGAGUCGCAAGCUCGCGAGAGUAAGCUAAUCUCUUAAAGCCGUUCUCAGUUCGGACUGUAGGCUGCAACUCGCCUACACGAAGUCGGAAUCGCUAGUAAUCGCGGAUCAGCAUGCCGCGGUGAAUACGUUCCCGGGCCUUGCACAAAAAGCCCGUCA